ACAGAGGGUGCGAGCGUUAAUCGGAAUUACUGGGCGUAAAGCGAGUGUAGGUGGCUCAUUAAGUCACAUGUGAAAUCCCCGGGCUUAACCUGGGAACUGCAUGUGAUACUGGUGGUGCUAGAAUAUGUGAGAGGGAAGUAGAAUUCCAGGUGUAGCGGUGAAAUGCGUAGAGAUCUGGAGGAAUACCGAUGGCGAAGGCAGCUUCCUGGCAUAAUAUUGACACUGAGAUUCGAAAGCGUGGGUAGCAAACAGGAUUAGAUACCCUGGUAGUCCACGCCGUAAACGAUGUCUACUAGCCGUUGGGGUCCUUGAGACUUUAGUGGCGCAGUUAACGCGAUAAGUAGACCGCCUGGGGAGUACGGCCGCAAGGUUAAAACUCAAAUGAAUUGACGGGGGCCCGCACAAGCGGUGGAGCAUGUGGUUUAAUUCGAUGCAACGCGAAGAACCUUACCUGGUCUUGACAUAGUGAGAAUCCUGCAGAGAUGCGGGAGUGCCUUCGGGAAUUCACAUACAGGUGCUGCAUGGCUGUCGUCAGCUCGUGUCGUGAGAUGUUGGGUUA
rnacentral:rRNA from 1 species